rnacentral:rRNA from 1 species
AUUGAACGCUGGCGGCAGGCCUAACACAUGCAAGUCGAACGAGUGGCGGACGGGUGAGUAAUGUCUGGGAAACUGACUGAUGGAGGGGGAUAACUACUGGAAACGGUAGCUAAUACCGCAUAACAUCAGAUGGGCCCAGAUGGGAUUAGCUUGUUGUUGGGGUAACGGCGCACCAAGGAGACGAUCCCUAGCUGGUCUGAGAGGAUGACCAGCCACACUGGAAUGGAGACACGGUCCAGACUCCUACGGGAGGCAGCAGUGGGGAAUAUUGCACAAUGGGCGCAAGCCUGAUGCAGCCAUGCCGCGUGUAUGAAGAAGGCCUGCGGGUUGUAAAGUACUUUCAGCGGGGAGGCGUUACCCGCAGAAGAAGCACCGGCUAACUCCGUGCCAGCAGCCGCGGUAAUUC